UACGGGGGGUGCGAGCGUUAAUCGGAAUCACUGGGCGUAAAGGGUGCGUAGGUGGUUAAUUAAGUUAGCUGUGAAAUACCUGGGCUUAACCUAGGGAGGUGAGCUAAUACUGAUUAGCUAGAGUAUAGGAGAGGGUAGUGGAAUUUCCGGUGUAGCGGUGAAAUGCGUAGAGAUCGGAAGGAACACCAGUGGCGAAGGCGGCUACCUGGCCGGAUACUGACACUGAGGCACGAAAGCGUGGGGAGCAAACAGG
rnacentral:rRNA from 1 species